rnacentral:ncRNA from 2 species
ACGAUUGGUAGAGGCGCAGUGUUUAAGAGUACUGUUAUUGAGGUAAGCACGAUGAUAUAACAGGAAAGGAAGUACUGCCGAAGGGUACAGUUGAUGCUUUAAGAUUGUAUUCCUGGGCUUGCACAUAACAUGUGUAAGACUGUCACAAAUAUUCUAUUUGUGGAGAGCUAUCAUUCAU